rnacentral:rRNA from 1 species
AGUGAACGCUGGCGGUAGGCCUAACACAUGCAAGUCGAACGGCAGCACAGUAAGAGCUUGCUCUUACGGGUGGCGAGUGGCGGACGGGUGAGGAAUACAUCGAAAUCUACUUUUUCGUGGGGGAUAACGUAGGGAAACUUACGCUAAUACCGCAUACGACCUACGGGUGAAAGCAGGGGAUCUUCGGACCUUGCGCGAUUGAAUGAGCCGAUGUCGGAUUAGCUAGUUGGCGGGGUAAAGGCCCACCAAGGCGACGAUCCGUAGCUGGUCUGAGAGGAUGAACAGCCACACUGGAACUGAGACACGGUCCAGACUCCUACGGGAGGCAGCAGUGGGGAAUAUUGGACAAUGGGCGCAAGCCUGAUCCAGCCAUACCGCGUGGGUGAAGAAGGCCUUCGGGUUGUAAAGCCCUUUUGUUGGGAAAGAAAGGCAGCAGGUUAAUACCCCGCUGUUCUGACGGUACCCAAAGAAUAAGCACCGGCUAACUUCGUG